rnacentral:lncRNA from 1 species
GCCGAUCUUGUUCCAGCUCGACCACUCGUCUUCGUCGGUGUAGAGAGUCACUUCCUGUGGGAGAGAGAGCUUGUCGAGGAAGUGGAGAGACGAUUUCGAGACGACGGCUCUCACUUCCGCCCACUCUGUGAAGCAGUGGCAGAGGUUGCCGAAUUUGAUGGCGGCGACGCUUCCGGUUGCUGCGAGGAGUACGCGGGGCUUUCUAGGGGAGAGCUGCACUUCCAUGUCUUCUCUGUCUCUUUUCCCGUUCUCCAUGGCUCUUUUUGAAAACCCUUACAGAUCUGAGAAUUGGAGAAUUGAGGAAGAUGAUGGUUGAUUUAACCCAUACCGAACCGAACCGAACCGAUCUAGUCAUUUAUUGGUUAUGUACCGAUUGGUACGUUUUAAAAUUAAUUCUUGUUUUGUUUGAUAAUCGGUUAAUUCAGUUAUCGUUUUUUUUAAGUUUCCGAUCAAACUAGUUUAUACCAAUAUUUCAAACCAAACUGGUAUAGCAACCGAAACUACACAAACUUAAUCGAAUUUAACCAAAGAAACUGAAAUUUCUUCGGUUUGGAAACGAAACUAAACAAAAUCGAGACGUAAUUUGUUUCGGUUCAGUUGGAGUUUUUCAACUUUGGAAUCAACCGAAAACUGUAUUGCUUGACCCGACUAAACCGAACUAGCCUAAUCAAAAUGUUUGAGAGAGAGAGAGAGAGAGGACAACAAUCAUUGCUCUUUCUCUGGCUGGUCAGAUGGGCCGUAAACUCCAUCGCUGUAGGCCUCAUACCUCUUAUAUCGACAUUUUCUUCUUGAUAUUGACAAUACAAUGAAUCGCGCAACGUAUCAAAUUUGAAUUUUGGUGUUAGUAUUGGGUUGCAUGGAAACUCCUUUCUAGGGUUGUCUUCGGUGCUGUCAAAAAAAAAAAAAAAAGGGUUGUCUUCGGUUUUAAAUAUAUUUUGGAUACGAAAUGUGUUGAAAAUACAAGGAUACGUGUUUCAUAGAAUUCGAAGUUUAAUUUCUACAGUUUGCAAAAAAAUUAGUUACUAAUAUACUAUAGGACGUAUAUUUGUUCCGGAUCAUUUAUAUUUCAUUGUUAUGUUUAAAAAAUAUACUUUAGCAUCUAUGAUUUUAAUAUAUAGCAAAAUUUUAUAAGUACAUAUAUUGAUAUGUUUAAAUAAUUUAUAAUUAUUAUUUUCUUAAAUUUUAUUCAUGAUUUAUGAAUUUUAACCCAUUUUAGUAGUGAAUGAUAUUUUAAAUUAUUUUAUUAAUAUUUUAUUAUUUUAUAUUUAAUUCAUAUAAUGCUUCUAUUUUAGUCAAACAUAAUAAAUGAAAAUAUAAAACCAAACCAAGUGUCAUAUUAUAUUUUAGUCAAACAUAAUAUCAUAAAUAUAAUAACAUUUAAAAUGAAAAAGGAAAUAAAUUCAAGUCAAGUUCCAUAUUUGUUUUUAGUCAAAUAUAAUAUCACGGAAAUAUAAUUUUAAUUAAAUAAAUAUAUUGGAAAAUACAGAAAAUUAAUUCAAAUCAAAUUUUCAAAUUUUAUAUUUAGUCAAAAACUAAAUUACAAUAUGUAAAAUAAAUACAAUUGAUCCUAAUUAAAAUAAUAAAGAAUAGCAAAAUAAACAGUUAAAAUUUUAACUUAUCUAUUGUUCUUAUUAUCAUCAAUAUUAUUUUAAUUUUAUUAGUUCCUUAAUUGUAGUUUUUUAUUUAUUUGGUUUAACUUUUUAUUUCAUCAUUUUCAAUUUGUUUCUUUGCUUUGUUAUAUACACUUUAUUUUCUUUGAUUUUCCAUAUAACAAAAGUUAAGAGCCAAAAAUAAUAUACUUUCUAGUUUCUACUAAUCUAAUAGUUCUCGACUUUGGCGAAACUAUAUUAAAACUAGAUUCUAUUUCUAUAAUUUGAAUUGGAUGUUUAAUGUUUCAUUAAAUAUUUUACUAAUAUAUUUUAUAUUUAGAAAUAUUUUAUUUUCGUAUAUUCGUUUUAGUUUCUAUGCAAUCUUAGUUAGUAUGUAAUGCCAAAAAUAUGUUAUAUUUUGGUCUAGUUAAAAACAGUUAUAGUGGGUGAUCGAGACAAUAUUUUAGAAAAUUAUUCUUCUUUCUAUAAAAUUAUCGUAAACGCGAUUGAGAAAGUUAUGUAAUAGUACACUAAACAAAUAUGUACCAUUUUAAUACAUAAUUUCUUACAGACAUGAAAUAACAGAUUAAGUAUUUUCCAUUUUAAUUUACCGAUUAAUGUAUCCAUUCUAUGAUACAUCACAGAUUUAGUACUCAAAUGUUAUAUAAUAAAAAUUAUUGGUGUCGGAGAAAAAGAACAUUAUGUUGCAGGAUUUUGAGUAAAGUUUUAUCUAAUGUAGGCUGAUCAUGAUAAAAGUUCUAUAUGUGAAACCCUUUUAUGAUUAAAUAUUCAUGCUCAGUUGUAAAAUAAACAGGCGAUUAAAAGUUAGAUGAAUUAAAUUUGAAAAACAUGUUAGUAUAUCAUUUUGGAUAUACAAAAAAACUCAUUGAUUAUAGUACUUGGAGUACACUUGAUGUAUUGUUACGGAAACAUUUCUCAAAAUCGUUAGGUUGGAACAGUAAGCACCCAGAAUUAAUAGACGACUUAAUGUCUACAGUUUUAAUUAACAUUUCAUUUAAAGAGCAACUACGUUAAUAUAAAGAGGUCAAAGGGAGUGUUCUAAAAGACUGAAACAAUUGUUGCAACUUGGCCGAACUGUUUCAAUGGUUGAUGACUUCUCUAUGUAUACCGAAGGACUAAAGUUCAAAGUGAGUUCAAAUGUAGCUGACUAUUUGAUUAAAACUAACUGUAGACAUGGAAAAGAUACGAAGAUAUUACUAACAACAAUAAUAUCAAAUUAAGAUUCGACCUCAGUGAACUAACAUAUUAAAAAAAAAAAGCAAAAUAGAAAGAAAGAUCGGAGCAGAAAAUGUUUAGAUUAAUAAAAAGAGAAAACAUCCAACACUGGAAAUAUCCAUAAACAGAAACAAACCGACCAGAGUAUCAAAAGGUUUUGUCUCUUCUCUAGCAAACUGUUAAAAAUAAAAAUGCCUUACAGGCUUUAUUCAGAGACGAUCGAUCCAACACCCAAAUAUUAGAAGAACACUCAUAACCACGAACACCAAGGCUAUGUCUAGGCUUUUUUUGUUGGACCGUCACUUCAGAAAUCAGAAUAUAUCUUCAUCCAUUGCUUCAGCUUCUGUAUUGGGCUCAAUCUGGGGCAGGAUCUGCGGCUGGGACUGGGUCAAGGGCAGAGGCUCAAGGUCAAUCAGAGGUUCAAGCUCAAGAAGAGGCUCAAGCUCUGGCAGAGGCUCAAGCUCAGGCACAGUCUGAGGCUCAAGUUCACGAAGGAUCUGGGGUUCAGGCUCGGUCAAGGUCAGGGUCUCGGGCUGAAGCUGAGGGGGAGUCUGGGGCCGCGGCUGGGUCAGGGUCUGAGGCUGCGGCUGGGUCAGGAUCAGGGUCUGGAUCUGUGCUUGUUCUCCUCCUCCUUCGCUUCCUUGUCCAAGUUCCAUUCCUUGUGCUUCAGUUUCAAUCUCUGGUGCUGCCUCUUCUGGCUGCACUUCUUCCAUGGCAUUUGGCUGGGCUAGGAUCAUUCCAAGCUCAUCAAGCGACAAAAGAUGCCUCUCCGUAAAAGGAUUGUUCCACAUCAAAGUAUUCAUAGCCGGCGCAACGAAAAGCGGUUUGCUAUAAUCCCAAGCUCUUAUGAUACAAGUCAGAAGAUUAUCACACAUCCCACCAGCUAUCUAUAAAGACACAAAAAUUGAGCAAAGUGAAGUGUGGUUUUCUAAUGAAACUUAUAAAUAAGGCUCUGGAUCCGCAGCUAACAGUAAGAAAAAUCUUUAAUCUAUAAUUUUCUGUUACUAUUAUAACCACAACCAAUUGGACCCUUAGAUUGUGUUUUUUUUUUAACCUUGGCUAAAGUGUUAGCAGACAAAGGAGCGAUGACCAUGACGUCAGCCCAGCGUCUGAGCUCGAUGUGAAGCACGGGAUCGCCGAUCUUGUUCCAGCUCGACCACUCGUCUUCGUCGGUGUAGAGAGUCACUUCCUGUGGGAGAGAGAGCUUGUCGAGGAAGUGGAGAGACGAUUUCGAGACGACGGCUCUCACUUCCGCCCACUCUGUGAAGCAGUGGCAGAGGUUGCCGAAUUUGAUGGCGGCGACGCUUCCGGUUGCUGCGAGGAGUACGCGGGGCUUUCUAGGGGAGAGCUGCACUUCCAUGUCUUCUCUGUCUCUUUUCCCGUUCUCCAUGGCUCUUUUUGAAAACCCUUACAGAUCUGA